rnacentral:ncRNA from 1 species
AUACGGCAAACUUGUCGAAAGACAAGGACGCAAAGCUACAGGGCCUUCCUUACUAUCGUAGAUUACGAGAAUAAGAUGGCAGCCAGCUGCCGA